UACGUAGGCAGCGAGCGUUGUUCGGAAUUACUGGGCGUAAAGAGUGUGUAGGCGGUGCUCUAAGUUCGGUGUGAAAUCUCCCGGCUUAACUGGGAGGGUGCGCCGGAAACUGGAGUGCUCGAGCGUGGGAGAGGAAAGCGGAAUUCCUGGUGUAGCGGUGAAAUGCGUAGAUAUCAGGAGGAACACCUGCGGUGUAGACGGCUUUCUGGACCAUAACUGACGCUGGGGCACGAAAGCGUGGGUAGCAAACAGG
rnacentral:rRNA from 1 species